GCAUAUAAGUAAAACCCUACAUGUAUUUGUUGUUGCGUGUGGUCCAAGCAUCACGUCAAAACCAGCUGUUCAUUUGCAGUGUGGUUUGCUUGUGAAACGUACGCUGGAAAUAGUCACAAAAUAAAAAGUCGCUACAUUUCCCACAGUUCAUUGAAGAUUUCGUAUGUAGCUUAUGUGCAAGGUGGAUUUAUUAUGUGUGAAUUAAUUUGCCACGGGCAUGCAUAAGGUGAAAUUGAAUGUAGAGAGUGAAGUUUGGACGCGGAAAAGUUUAAAAUAGAGAAACAUAACGCAAAAAAACUUCGAAACAAGGGCAAAAUUAAAGUCUCACUGCGUUCAGAAAGUAAUGAUAUUGAUGGCUAUCAGAAAUCCACCUUGGCUGCUAAUGACUAUGAGGCUUCAUACUAAAUACUGCUGACAUGCGCAUACCAUAUUGCAUAAAAAUGUUUGCUUCAUGUUUUUUGUGGAAAAUCGAUCGCUAUGAUUGACAUCUAAAACUGAACACUUAAAAAUUCUGGAUAACAAAUUUGUAACAUGCUUGUGAAUUCAUUUUAUAUAAUUCAACUUUAUUGAUUUUAUAGCCUGUAGUCAUGCUUCAUUGGCGCUUUCCUUGGUAAUGCGGUGUACCCAUAUGGAAGAGGUGAUAAUCCGAAGCCAGAAAGCAGUUUCAGCAGUAUAUAAACCACAACCAGAUAAAAUUAUUGUCUAUUCUUGUAGACCUUUGAACGUCUUUUCGAUAAGCAGCGAGUCGAACCAGUGUUUUGUAUGAUUCACCACGGUCUAGCAAUGAUACAGCCACAAUAAAUUGUCCUAAAAUUUUAAAUUAAUUAAAUUAAAGGGCAACCGCGAGUCAAUAAACCGGCAAACGUGAAUAAAAGUUCAAUUUGCACCAAUAGUUCAGUAAACACAAAUGUAAACAUAUGUAUGAAUGUACAUACCAAUACAAACAAAGCAUAUAAUUUUGACGUAAACCAUAUCUACGGCGUAUAUAUUAUAUAUAACCUAUAAUAAAUCCACCUUACGACUGACAGCAAUAGCGAGCGAACAAGACGCCAAAACAAAAGCAAAGACUGAACUCGCCAGAAGAUGCGAGGUGCCAUAUCUAAACACGUAAGCGAAUAAACGUAAUAAAGUGAUUCACUAAGGCAAGC